UACGAAGGGGGCUAGCGUUGUUCGGAAUUACUGGGCGUAAAGCGCGCGCAGGCGGUCUUCCAAGUCAGUGGUGAAAGCCCGGAGCUCAACUCCGGAACUGCCAUUGAAACUGUUAGACUUGAGUAUGAGAGAGGUGAGUGGAAUUCCCAGUGUAGAGGUGAAAUUCGUAGAUAUUGGGAAGAACACCGGUGGCGAAGGCGGCGCUCUGGACCGAGACUGACGCUGAGGCGCGAAAGCGUGGGGAGCAAACAGG
rnacentral:rRNA from 1 species